ensembl:lncRNA
AAACCACAGUUAUACUAAUAUUUGAUUUAUAUUUGGAGUCUGCAUCCAUGAAAACAAUGACUUGAAUAAAAACAGAUCAUAAAUCUAUUUUAUAUUCUCCCCACAUGGGAAUCUGACAGCUUUUGGACAAAGUUGUGAUGUGGGGAUAAUAAAGGGUAAUAAAUGAAUAAAUGAUAAUAGAUAAAGGGUGCUUUAUUCGCCACUCUACCUUAAUCCAUCCCGACGUUUCCUCCUCACCGGCAAGUCGUCUGAGCUUUUUGUCAACGUCAUCAUUCAACAAAGACGAAUAAUAAUCUCGCACUGAUGUCAGCAGAACAUUUUCAAGAAAAUUUAAAAGAUAAUAACAAUAAUGUGUCCCAGGUGGUGUCGUCCCUACGCCGUGACCCUUUUUUUAUAUCGCAGAUGCGGAGAUGGGACCUGAAUUUCUCCGUCGUUAAUCAGCUGGCGGAGCUUCGUUCAGGUGGGGAUGAUUAUGCACGCGUUCCGUCUCUUCUAUCCAGGUUCAAACCGACGGACAGGACGAGUUAGACAAGCACUGAUCGGUCCUCGGACCCCGUUUUCUUUCUUUUUGUUCGAUAUGAAGUCUGUCCAGACCUUGUGUGUGUGUGUGUCUGUGUGCGUGUGUGCGUGCGGGUGAAACAGUUAGCACCUUUGUAAAAGGCCGGAUUGUGAGGGACGGUCACACAGUUUUCCUGUGGAGCGUCGGCACAGAAUCGGCCCAUCGGCUGCUUGUUGCGCGCUUGGUCGACGACGCCACGUGAGCGCGUUCACCUGGCGAGCGUCGGUGUUGCAAUACGACAGCUAGGCACUGCUUUUCGACAGUGGGUAUUUUAUAUAUUUUAUCACGCGCCCUUUACUAUCCGUCUUCCUACCAUGUGGAGAACACGCUUGCACCCCGCGGUGCGUGUUAGAGAGUACAGCAAUACACCGUGUUUAGCUGGAUAUCUUGUUGGCUUGCUGAUAUUUUGAUAUUGACGUGUUUUUCUCAAAAUUGUAUGGCUUUUCCUUUGCCCCCCGCCCGCCCCGCCCCCAUUUGUUUGCUUUGAAAGAUUACACAUUAUGAAAUUUAAACAAAAAAUAGGUUGAUUAAAACCUGGGCUUGUUUCCGCUGUACGAGAUGACAAACACAUGGAGAGGGUCCUUCAUUAUUAUCUACUCGAUAUGGGACAACAAGGCAUAUGUGCGUGUGUUUGUGUGUGUGUUUAGUGCACUUACUAUACCAUGAGCUAGGCUUGACAUAGGAGUGUUGUUGGAGCUUUCUAGUUACCCUGACUGUGUGUGCUGUGACUUUUGUACCCGGGGAAAGCAGCAGGCUCAAGCGUCUUCCCUUUUGUCAGCAAUGUUAUUUCCAAAAAAAAAACAAGGUCGAACCUUAGAAAUUUCCCCCGAGACCGGCUGAGAAUUUAAAAGGUGACGUUUAGCUCAUUACCGGUUAUUAUAUUUAGGUACCAGGUGAAAUGAGACUAAUGGUGUGUUUCCAUAUCUGAAAUGAAGCUGUGUAGAACAUAACGUAAGAGGCAUCAGUGCCUCCGUUGAGUCUGAGAUGUUACAUUUUUCCCCAAAACUUGUUGUAUUACCUGUGCAUUAGUAUCCCUCAGCUAAUUAAUAAAGGUUUGUUGACUAAAACUGUGUCAACCUCAUUUCAGUCAACCGCUCGAGACAAAUGUUUCGCUCCAAUUUGAAUAGUGCCAUGAAUUACACACACGUUUGUCUAUUCAAACCAUCAUUUUGCAUUUCGUCGGAUCACAAGAGUGUCUUUGUCUCGAUAUGAAGAAGGGAGGGACUGUAUGAAGGACGUAUUUCUUUGUGCCAGCUUUAGGGACCACGUCUUUCUCUGUGACUCACUCCCACUCAACAAACAGAAUGGAGCCAUCAUCAGAGACUGAACGAUUAAAAACACAUUGCAUGUAUAAUUUGACUUGCACUGUUCCACAAAGGAGUCUCUCUCUGGUGUUGAGUGUGUAUCAUCCUAAAGUAUGUAAAGUGAGAAGCACUAUAUGCAUCAUACAUAAUAUUAUCCUUAUUAGUAAUAUUUAUAUUUAUAUAGAUUUUUUUUUAUAGAUUUAGACCAACGUAUAAACUUGACAGAUAGUAAUUGAAUAUACAUUUAUUUGUAUAUAUUAUUGUCAGCAUUAAAUACCUCAGGUCUUAAAUAUAAUAGUGUAUAUAUAUAGCCCGAGUGCAUUCUGUGACUUGUAGUUCGUCCGAGUUGAAGGGGAGGGGGCCUUGCCGGUUAUGCCUACAAGUCCCAUGAUGCCUCACGCCUGAACGCUGGCUCUACUCUGAACACCUGAUUGUCAACAGAGUGGAAAUGUCGGCGGUUCGCAGGGAAGAAGCGCUCCCACAGAUGGAGACCGAAGGGAGAACUUCCCCUGUGUCGACCAGGUAAACCGGUUAACGUUGAGUUUCUCUUCACCGGAAAUCACGGACCUCAUACAACGGUUAUUUAUUUCUUUGGGGGGGUGGGGGGCUUUUCUAAACAUCAACGGGGGGUUUAGCCGAGCAUCUUCACGGACACGCGAGCUGUCACCGGUGAACCCUCACGGUUACGCGUCGUGGCGUUAACGAGGUUAACGUGUCGCCGUUACGGCAGCCGGGACAGUUAAUAACGGCGUGACGACGCGAACCGUUAAAUACAGCUGUCACGUUAACGUGGCGGAAUCAAUCCGCCGUUCCAACCUUCUCACGUUGGUCCCAUGUUCCACACGAGGUUCCCCCCCCACCCCGACGGACGGACCUCCGUCGUCAUCCUCCUCAAACCAGAACGAGAAAUAAACGAAAACAGGCACAUGCGAGGUCUCCUAAAGCAGCAUGCUAACUAGUUAGCAAGUGGGACGCCCACACAUACGUGUCGAAUAACACGGCCGAAUAAAGCAGGAACACCGCUAUCGUGGAGCAGGUCGCUUUAUUCAAAUGUUCAGGUCAAAACAAUGUGUCGCAAUUGUGCCCUGGUCACAAUACACGCGGCGUCACCGUGUGUAGUGACCCAGUUAUUCGGCGUGCAGGAACCGGCCCCGAUGAGCCACGAGAGGGUGUCGCUGCACCGCUUCAUCCGCACAGGGUCGCUUCCGGUUUCCGGUGGACUCCUCCCCCCCGCCCCGCCCCGCCCCCGCAGGGGUUAAAGUGGUUCUCGUUACAUUUAACAAGCCACAGCGUUCAUGUGGCUGCAGAGACUCUUCAGGGUGGAGCCCGGAUGCAUCAGUUAAGGAAGUGAUAUUGAAAAGUGAUGAAUAUUAUUUAAUGCAGGUCACAAGUCGCAGAAAACCCUCACAAAUCAACCCCCCUCCCCCAGAAACAUGUAUUUCAUUCGGCUGCAUGGAAAUAGUCUGUUAUUUCGUAGACGAGGUGUGUGUAGAAUCUGCUUACGUAACUCUGUCCCCGUUUCUUAAAUAGAUGAGCAUGUGGGAUUUGGACGCGUUGGGCGGUCCGCCUCGGUGGAACGCUUUACUGAGCAGCUCCACUCCGCCUGGAGGCCGCUGAAUGUUUGGCAUAGCAACCGCGUCAGGCCUCUCGUUACCACGGGGCUUCCUUCGCCCGCGCAGCUGUCUUCGGACCGCAGCUUUAAAGCGACAGCGAACAAAAGCACUGCCCCCCCCCCCACCACCACCACCACCACCAUUACCCCAUUGGUGGUUUGUUAACGAGAAGUAAAACCCAAAUGAUGUCCGGUCUCGAAAUAUGAAACGGUUGGUUUGACUUCCCUUAAGCGGCGUGGGGCGGAGGAGCCCCGCGGGGCCUCUGGGCUUCUGUCCGUCUCCUCUGAUCUCUUGACAAUAAUGAUUUGUUUGUCUGCUGCGAGUUGUUGCCCAGCAGGAGUGCACACCUGUGUGUGUGUGUGUGUGUGUGUGUGUGUGUGUGUGUGUCCCGGGUGGCUCCUCCGUCAGCUGAUCGUAGUGGCAGUGUUGGGUUUCAUCAUGCUGUUUAUUCCUCCACCCUGAAGUUCGAGGGGUGGGGGCGGCAUGUGUGUGCUUGCGUGUGCUUGCUGUCGUGUUGACGUCUCCGGGCUCUGUUGAACAGAGACAUUGCGUGUCCCCGAGCCUCACCCGUCCCUCCCCUUUCUGUCACCUUCACUUCUUGUUCUUUAACAACCCGAGGAGGAGGAGGAUGGGGAGGAGUUUGAUUCCAGCCCCCCCCUCCUCCCCCGGUUUGUUUAUCUGUGCGCCGGUCGUCUCUCUCUCAGCUUAUUGCGACACUUACUGUCACAAACGGAUGACCCCAGCCGGGCAUGUGUGUGUUUAUAUUUGAGUGUGUGUGUGUGUGUGUCAGGAGGGGGGGAGGGCUCUAGCCCGCGAGGCUAUUAAUACCACCUAAUGAACAUAAUCUGGAGGGUAGGUGAUCCUCUUUCAUUCGUCUGCCCGAGGCCGAGGGGAGGAGUGCAGCGCGGGAGGAAGAGGAGGGAAAAGGCUGCUGUGCUGUUAAUGCGCCACCUCCACGCUGCUCCACUC